GCCAUGUCUGCCUUGAAUUUGAUUCCAGCAGUUAUCGAGCUAAACUAGAGAAAGAAAUAGCUUUGUUGUGGAUUGCAUUGUCGAGCCAUUUUCGUGUCCUGAUACCGCAUAAACGAUCACCUGAUCACUGGAUCGAUUGGAGGCUGACAAAUUCUGCCAAGAGGACCCAAGGCCACAGAAAGAGCUGAUAUCCACACCUUGAGAUACGAGAUACGUUCACUACCAAUAGAGCUUAACAACUGUGUUCUGUGCAGUCCAUACUGAGAACCACAGAAUGUUGUGCAAGGGCACUUACCCAACUGACAGUUAAGAGGAAUGUGCUGUUUAUUUAGGACCCAGUCUGACUUUUGUCAGACAAUUGAAACAAAGUUUCAUUUUAUAGGCAUCCACAGUGAUGCACUGUUGUAUUCUGUAUUUGUAGUUGUGUAGAUCUGAGGCAAGCUUAGACUAUAUAGUAAUACCUUGACUCAACAAGCAAACAGUGUGUAUGUGGUGUGUGUAUGUGUGUGUGUGUGUGUGUGUGUGUGUGUAAUGUUCUUAAAUUUUUUUAAAGGACAGAAGAAAGAUUCAUUUUAUGAGUCUUAGAAAUUUUAGAAAAGUUUUAUAAUUUUCCAAUGAUCAUUAAUUCAUGCACAUGCUUGAAUACGAUAUUAAACUAUAUGAUUACUUAACUAUACCCUCAUGUAAUGUCAUAGACAUUGUAUCCCCUGUCUUCUGGCUUCAGAGCAAGUGUAUUUUUUACAAUGCCUUGAGAAGGUAAGAUAUUUUAAUUUCAAGCUGAGAAGGUAGCUUCGUCCAUUUCGAGGUGCUCAUCUGAAGCUGUAUAUUUAGUGGACUUCCUGCUAGGGAAGGGUGUUCUUUGCCUUUUUGUCUUAUCUUCCUUCAUAUGUACAAAUCAACACAUUUCUCUUAUUACCUCACUAAAAAAACUUCCAAAACAAUAUUCAAAGGAGUUAGUGCUUGAGAUGCAAUGUAGCCUUAGAGCAUCUUAUGCAAAUACCUGCAUCUCUGUGUCUGGGUUUGCUGUUCAGCAGCCCCCCACCCAUCCCAGAAAAACAUAUUCAUAUUCUUUUAACUCUUUUUACAGUGUGUGUGUGUGUGUGUAUGUGUGUGUGUGUGUACAGAAGUUCACAAGGGGAGUAACUUUUUUCCAUCAUGUAGGGUUCAAAGAUUGGCCUCAACUUUGGGGCUUGGUGGUAAAAAUUCACUCUGCUGUGCUAUCUCCCCAUUGCUCUCAAAAUAAAUAUUUAGUUACAGAAAUCAAGUUGCAGUUUGCUUAUAUAGAAAAUAUCUAUAUCUCAGAAAAAUAUUUAUAUUAAAUCUAAUUUAUAAUAAAACAUAAAAGAAGGAACCCAUUAAGGAAAAGUUGUAUAUAUGUAUAUGUAUAUAUGUAUAUGUAUACUGAAUAUAUACAUAUAUAUUAUUGCUUGCAUAUGAAAAAGCCAUAUUUGACACAUAUUUAUGCAUGCAUAUUUGUCCUCACUGUGGUAUUGAAAUUCAUUCACUUUAGUAUCUGUGCUGUUUACUUUGUCUUCAGAGCUUUCACAUUGAAAGUAUCCAAAGUUGCCUUGGUGCCUCUGUGUACUCCAAUCUUCACAUUUAAUUCUAUAAGAUCAAGGUGCUGUUAAAUAACCUGAUUCAGUGAAUUUGAAUCUCAAGUCAAAGAUGCUUUGGAACUAGCUAGUUCAUAAAGAUAAUUUAGUCUGUUCUCUCACACUAACGGAGAAGUUAAGAACUAUAGGUGACAUGGUUAUUAUCAGCAUAUGCCAACUAGUGAUCUAAGAGAUAUGACCUGCAGUUUCCUGGGCUUUUCAGCUACUCUGAAUUCUAUAUUAAUUAAAUCCUUCGGUAGUCCUUAUAGGAGGCAUCAUUUGAGAUUAAGAUAGAGAAUCCGUGGAAGGAAGGAAAAACACUACAAAGACCAAUGAUGUGCAGCUAGCUAUGUCAGAAUAUUUAGGAAGCUACUAUUUAUAUUUCUGCUCCAGCUUAUGGUAUAGACACUCUUCCACCAUCCUCCAUAGGAAGAGAAAAUAUUUAAUAUCAUAAUCCUGAUUAAUCAUGGAGUGCCUCCAAUUUUCUAUCUGUUCUAUGUUCUAUCUAUGUGUUGUUCUAUCUUUGGACUAUUUCAGCCUCACACCAAAAACUGUGGAAAGGCAAGCUAGAUGCAAUAUAAUACUCCAUUAAGUCGCAUCUAAUUUACUUAUUAAAUUUCCAAUCUACAUAGAAGAUGGGACUUUUGUAAAGAGAAACACAAUCUAAAAUCCUCAUAUAAAAGAUAUAUGGCCCCAUAAUCAAAACAUGUAGAAUGUUACAUAUUUCAUUAAAAUAAUUAGAAACUUUCCAAUUUAUAACAAAACACCAAAACUUAAGUCAUUUAAAAUUGCUUAAUUUUCUAAAAAGCAGAAAUCAAUAAAAAUUUAUUUUCAUCUUUUAUGUAUGUCAAGAUUGGAACAUUUUAUGCAAUUAUUUACAUAUUCAUUUAUUCAGCAAGCCUGGAGUGAAUAUGAGUAUCAAAAUCUAUUUGCCAAAUGUUUCUUAUAAAAUAUAUAGGAACAACAGCAACAGCAACAGCAAAAAAAAUAACAAAAUGAAAUCUAAACAUUUUUCAGAUGCUAUCCCACUUCCUGGUUACCCCUUCACAACCCCCCCCAUCCCACAACCUCCUUUCCACUUUAUCUCCAUGAAGGUGCUUCCCCAGCCACCUACCCUCUCCUGUACCACCCCUCCAGCAUCCCCUUACUCUGGGGCAUCAAACCUUCACAGGACCAAGGGCCUUUCCACCCAUUGAUGUCAGGCAAGGCCAUUCUCUACUACCUACAUAUCUGGAGCCAUGGAUCCCUCCCUCCCUGGUGGUCUAUUCCCUGGGAGCACUGGUGGUCUGGCCAGCUGAUGUUGUUUUUCCUAUGGGGUUGCAAUCCCUCUUUUUAAAUGUCCAAGCUACUCCCUUACCAAAUUAAAAUAUUUUAGCUAAAAAUAUUAUCUAUGACUUAUGGAAAAUCUGUUACAAACAAUUGUUAAGUAGAGUUUGCAAUGCUGGAUGUGUUUGUGUGCUCAUACCAAGUCUUUUUUUUUAAUUGGAUAUUUUUUUAAUUUAAAUUUCAAAUGUUAUCCCCUUUCCUCGGUUUCCCCUCCAGAAACCCCUUAUCCCAUCCCCUCUCCCACUAUUUCUAUGAAGGUGCUUCCCCACCCACCGACUCCCUCCUGCCUCCCUGCCCUGGCAAUGCACUACACUGAGGCAUCAAGCCUUCACAGGACCAAGUGCCUCUCCUCCCACUAAUGCCUGACAAGGCCAUCCACUGCUACAUAUGCAUCUGGAGUCAUGGGUCACUCUAUGUGUACUCUUUGGUUUUUGGUUUAGUCCCUGGUUGCUCUGGUGGGUCUGGUUGGUUGAUAUCUUUGUUCUUCCUAUGGGUUUGCAAUAUUCAUGUAAUUAGUAUAGAGCUGACCGUAUUUCCAAUAAGAUUCUGUCAACUUCUGUUUCAACAUUGGGACAAGACAAAUCCAAAUUGAGUUUCCUUCAUGAUCUUUCUAUUGUCCUCCUUCUAUAUUCCUAAUAUCUAGCACAGUACUCAAUGUAGAGAAAAAGCUCAGUAAUGUUUUCCUAAAGGCUGCAACUAACUAGUUCACUAAACUCUCCACCAUUUUAAAUAAAGCUUGUAUUUAAUUUUCCUAUUUAUUUACAAACACAGUUAGUGAAUGAAGCAUUAUAUUUCAAAAUAAUUUUACAGUAUUUGUUAUCCAUUACCCAGUGAUCCAAAUUAGAAAUGUCAAACUUCAUAAGCAACUCUGGAUUAUUAAUGUGUUAUUAGGCAUGUUAUUAACUUGAUUUUUUUUUACCAUUCUUUGAAGCAAAGCACAUGCUUAUUUAAAAAUGGAGAAGUAGGGCUGGAGAGAUGGCUCAGGGGUUAAGAGCACCCAACUACUCUUCCAAAGGUCCUGAGUUCAAUUCCCAGCAACCACAUGGUGGCUCACAACCAUCUGUAAAGAGAUCUGAUGCCCUCUUCUGGUGUAUCUGAAGACAGCUACAGUGUACUUGCAUAUAAUAAAUGAAUAAAUCUUUAAAAUAUGGAGAAGUAAGGUAUAAGGAAAUUGAAAAUCAUUUAUUAGGGGUUGGGGAUUUGGCUCAGUGGUAGAGCGCUUACCUAGGAAGCGCAAGGUCCUGGGUUCGGUCCCCAGCCCCAGAAAAAAAAAAACGAAAAUUAUUUAUUAACUUCUGGCUUAAGCUGUCUUUUCAGGAUGCUGUGAUAAAACAUGUUAUGUUGGAAGUCUCAGACAACAGAACUUUAUUUUUCUCAUCAUAUGGACUAAAAGCCCCAGGUGAAGUAAUCUAUGAUAUGGUCCUUGGGAGGGCUCUUCUUUCUGGUUUGCAGUAGAAGUCUUACUGAUUGCUUACCUAACUUUCCCAUUGGCAGGCGCACACAGAUACAGACACAGACACAGAUACAUAAACACACACACAAACACAUGCAUACACACACACACACACAGACACACAGACACACACACACUUAGAAAGCAAAGUAGAAAAACAGAAGGAUAAAAGACAACAUUACUCCUUAAUUCAAUUGACCACAAUCUACAAUGACUGGCUCUCCAAGAGCAAUCACACUAGAAAUUUUAUUUCAAUGUGUGAAUUACACAGUCAAACCAGUCUAUAACAAGACCUCUAGAUAUACUAGUGUGACAGUGAAAGCCCUCUAGUCCUCAACCCUUUACUAGAACAGCAAUCAAUAAAGGGUUGCUGAGAGCAGGAACAAAAGUCUUUCCCCAGGGAAGAGCAUACCAAUUGGUUAUCAAAUAUUGACGGUCAGCCCUGAAAACAUUGUACAUACAGAGAGGGUUGUAUUUAAACAUUACAUGUGCAAACAAAAUUAUAAAUUUGUGAAAUAACAGUUUUUGAAAAGAGAAGCUAUGAGUUUGAAAAUAAAAGCAAGAAGGUACUACAUUGGGUUUUCCUUUUGAGGAAGAAAUAUUGUAAUUAUAAUCUCUAAAAUAAAAAUAUUACUGAGA